GUUGACUGGGGCCCCCUCGAAAUGCUUCCAUUUAUGGCCAGAAUUUGGUCUUCCCAGUUCGGUCACACAGAUGGGAAGGCUUAAGUGAACAGAGGGCACUGCAGAGCCACUCGGCCGAAGUGAGAGCCUGGGCGCUGGGGCUGCAGCUGUGACUGGACGGGCCACACCUGGCGCACACCACACACUCCCAUCACGACCCCAGCCCCUCAGGGACCGUUCAGCGCUCCUGUGGCUUGACUCUCCAUGCGACCCAGGCCGCCCCGUCGCCGUGCCCUUCUGCCCAGAGCAGCAGUGGGCAUGGAUGAGGCAGGAGCUGUCCUGCACAGCCUGAACCUCCAGGAAGGGGGCCCCGACCCCAGGAAGUCUCCUGUCCUUCCUCAAGCUGUCAGCUAAAGUGCAGCCAAUUUUCAAAAUAACAUUUCGGGGCGCCUGGGUGGCUCAGUCGGUUAAGCGUCCGACUUCGGCUCAGGUCACGAUCUCGCGGUCCGUGAGUUCGAGCCCCGCGUCGGGCUCUGGGCUGAUGGCUCAGAGCCUGGAGCCUGCUCUCGAUUCUGUGUCUCCCUCUCUCUCUGACCCUCCCCCGUUCAUGCUCUGUCUCUCUCUGUCUCACAAAUAAAUAAACUUAAAAAAAAAAAAAAAACUUAAAAAAAAUAAAUA